rnacentral:pre_miRNA from 1 species
GUCAGGAAGAGGAAGAAAAGAUGGUCUAAGAGCAGUGGGCAUGGGAACAUGGAGGGGAAAAAACAUUUUUCUUCCCUCUGAAGUUAGAGGUUGAGAUUUGUUGGGUGUUUUUCCCAAUGCCUCCCAUGCCUACAGUUCUUAGACACUCCUUCCACUUCCUGUUGGCU